GCUCAGUUGGUAGAGCAUGGUGUUUGCAACACCAGGGUUGUGGGUUCGAUUCCCAC
rfam:Salmo salar isolate Sally breed double haploid chromosome ssa24, whole genome shotgun sequence.